rnacentral:rRNA from 1 species
GACGAACGCUGGCGGCGGGCCUAACACAUGCAAGUCGAACGGAAAGGCCCUGCUUGUGUGGGGUUCUCGAGUGGCGAACGGGUGUGUAACACGGGAGUAACCUGGGCUGGACUGUGGGAUAACUUCAGGAAACUGGUACUAAUACCGGAGUGGUGCGCCUGCUGGAUGGUGGGGGUUGGAACGUUUAGGCGGUGGUGGAUGGAUGCGCGGGUUAACAGCUGGUUGGGGGGGUAGUCGCCUACCAAGGGAUUGACGGGUCGCCGGCAUGAGAGGGUGACCGGCGUCAAGGGGACUGCGAUACGGCGCAGACUCCUAUGGGAGGCAGCAGUCGGGAAUAUUGCACAAUGGGCGGAAGCGUGAUGAGGAAAUGCUCGGAGCGGGAAGACGGCCUUCGGGUUGUAAACCGCAUUAGGCUGUGACGAAGCGUGAGUGACGGUAAUGGGUAAAGAGGCACCGGCUAACUACGUG